GGGAGUGUGGCUCAGUUGUGGAGUGCUUGCCUCGCAUGCAUGAAGCCCUGGGUUCGAUUCCUCAGUACCA
rnacentral:tRNA from 1 species